rnacentral:rRNA from 1 species
GAUCAUGGCUCAGGACGAACGCUGGCGGCGUGCUUAACACAUGCAAGUCGAACGAGAAUCACUGGAAGGAGUUUUCGGACAACGGAAGGUGAGGACAGUGGCGGACGGGUGAGUAACGCGUGAGGAACCUGCCUUUCAGAGGGGGACAACAGUUGGAAACGAUUGCUAAUACCGCAUGACACAUAGAGAUCGCAUGGUUUUUANGUCAAAGAUUUAUCGCUGAAAGAUGGCCUCGCGU